rnacentral:piRNA from 1 species
UGCCAAAAUACAGAGGUCGCCC